GGGGAUUUAGCUCAGUGGUGUAGGUGCCUGCCUGGCAAGCAGGAGGUCAUGAGUUCAAUCCCUG
rnacentral:tRNA from 1 species